UGGGGAAUUUUGGACAAUGGGCGAAAGCCUGAUCCAGCAAUGCCGCGUGUGUGAAGAAGGCCUUCGGGUUGUAAAGCACUUUUGUCCGGAAAGAAAUCCUUGGCUCUAAUACAGUCGGGGGAUGACGGUACCGGAAGAAUAAGCACCGGCUAACUACGUGCCAGCAGCCGCGGUAAUACNUAGGGUGCAAGCGUUAAUCGGAAUUACUGGGCGUAAAGCGUGCGCAGGCGGUUUGCUAAGACCGAUGUGAAAUCCCCGGGCUCAACCUGGGAACUGCAUUGGUGACUGGCAGGCUAGAGUAUGGCAGAGGGGGGUAGAAUUCCACGUGUAGCAGUGAAAUGCGUAGAGAUGUGGAGGAAUACCGAUGGCGAAGGCAGCCCCCUGGGCCAAUACUGACGCUCAUGCACGAAAGCGUGGGGAGCAAACAGGAUUAGAUACCCUGGUAGUCCACGCCCUAAACGAUGUCACUAGUUGUUGGGGACUUCAUUUUCCUUAGUAACGUAGCUAACGCGUG
rnacentral:rRNA from 1 species